rnacentral:rRNA from 1 species
UACGUAGGGUGCAAGCGUUGUCCGGAAUUAUUGGGCGUAAAGAGCUCGUAGGCGGUUUGUCGCGUCGGCUGUGAAAACCUAGGGCUCAACUCUGGGCUUGCAGCCGAUACGGGCAAACUAGAGUUCGGUAGGGGAGACUGGAAUUCCUGGUGUAGCGGUGAAAUGCGCAGAUAUCAGGAGGAACACCGGUGGCGAAGGCGGGUCUCUGGGCCGAUAUUGACGCUGAGGAGCGAAAGCGUGGGGAGCGAACAGG